GUUGUUGUUGUUCAACUCACCCCUUAGGACCUUCAGCUGUACAGUGUACGUACUGCAAAGGCUUUUGGAGGUGAAAUUUCCAUUUUCAUUGCAAAAAUAAAGGUUUUUAGUAAGGUUGGAUCAUUUUAAUGUACAACAAAAAAUGUGUUACUACCUUUUCAUUUUUAAAAUUCUGAUUGGUGAGACAGGUAAGUUCUCUGGAGAAAUGUUGCCAUAACAACAAGCAUCACAUAGCGCCCGUGUUGUAUGGGUGGGGAUGUUUGUUGUUAAGAGAAGACAUACUAUGUGGUCAAACAAUGGUCUUGUUAUAUUUAUCACUCACACCAAUUCCCAUAGACGAUGAAUAGUUGUGUGUCAGACACUAUGUCUGAAGAAUACAUUAUAUAGUUGAUUGAAAACUUCUUGAAGACUCUUCCUCAAUUUCGAAAUAUUGAACAUGAACUCGAAUCGCUGGGCAAGACUUUUCGCGUGGCAACGCAUUAACAAAAAUGUUGAAGAGGGGGAGAAUAAAGGACAAGCACUAAAUGACAAAAAAGAAGAGACUAAAAAAAUAAACUGGAAGGAAUGGAUAGUUGAUCCAUCUGAAGACUUUUACUACACAUGGUUGCAAAUUAUGAUACUACCUAUCUGCUACAACUGGGUCAUUAUAAUAUGCAGAACAUGUUUCUUCGACAUUGAAAAGAAGUUUUUUGCAGUUUGGCUCACAUUGGACUAUAUCUGCGAUUUGUUUUAUGUGGUUGACACAGUAAUCGGGUUUCGCACUGGCUUUUUGGAGCAAGGCAUCCUGGUGCGAGACUUGUCCCGUUUGAAGACGCGGUACAUGCGCUCCUCGCGCUUUAAGUGGGACAUCGCUUCCAUGUUGCCAACCGAUUUACUCUACCUGCAGCUGGGUGUUAACACACCUAUAGUCCGGAUCAAUCGCUUUCUACGCACAGGACGUAUGAAUGAGGCAUUGGACCGCAUGGAGACGCGCACAUCCUACCCGAACACUUUCCGUGUCGCCAAACUGAUGUUGUAUAUUUUCGUGCUCAUCCAUUGGAACGCGUGCAUCUACUUCUCCCUCUCCAGUUACAUAGGAUUCGGUGCUGAUCCCUGGGUCUAUCCCAACAUCUCGGACCCCGAUUUUGCGUCCACCCGACGCCAGUACUUUUAUAGCUUCUGGUUUUCGACUCUCAUUCUCACCACAGUGGGUGACACGCCGCGACCAGAGUGCGAGGAAGAGUAUUUGUUUCUGAUCGCCGACAUGUUGAUCGCAGUGCUGGUGUUUGCAUCAGUCGUGGGGAGCAUGGGGGACGUGAUAUCAAGCUUGCGCGAUCGUGACAACGUCUUCUUUCCCAAUCACGAGCUGGUGAAGGGUUACCUGCGCAGCCGGCGCAUCAGCAAAGAACUGCAGAAACGCGUCAAUGACUGGUAUCAGCAUCUACACCUCAACAAAAAGAUCACCCGGGAGAAUGAGAUUCUUCAACAUCUUCCGAUCACUCUUCAGACGGCAACUGCCGUGAGUGUGCAUCUGCCCACUCUGUCUAAAGUCACCAUCUUUCAGAACUGUGAGAACAGUCUGUUGGAGCAGCUGGUACUUAAACUCAGGCCACAGGUGUAUAGCCCAGGAGAGUAUGUUUGCAAGAAGGGUGAUGUAGGUCAUGAGAUGUAUAUUAUUAAAGAGGGAAAGCUUGCAGUGGUGGCUGAUGAUGGAGUCACUCAGUUUGCAGUACUGGGAGAUGGAAACUUCUUUGGAGAAAUUAGCAUACUAAAUAUAAAAGGUAACAAAUCUGGCAACAGACGAACAGCCAACAUUCGCAGCAUUGGUUACUCAGACCUGUUUAGCCUCUCCAAAGAGGACCUGACCGAAACACUUCUUGAGUUUCCUGCUGCCAAGCACCUACUGGAGGAGAAGGGUCGUCAGAUUCUAACGAAGAUGGGCAUGCUACAAGAGACGGAUGAAGGUGAGGGAGAGGUGGAGAAAACAGAAGACAAGGUGAAGCGCUUAGAUGCCACCCUAGAGACCCUGCAGACCAAACUGGCUCGACUGAUUGCUGAACUGGAGUCUAGUGCCCGUAAAAUGAUGCAACGGGUGGAACAACUGGAGUUGCAGACGGAAGAAUGGGAAGGCAUUGUGGCCGAGGGGGCACAGGGAGAGAUUGAAAACCAGCAAAAGGUAAAGGAAAGGGAGAUUGGGGAUGGGGAAGGAGAAGGAGAAAAGAAAGAUAAAGAUGAAGAUGAGCCAACGGUGGAAGGAGAGAGAGGAGUGGGUGAUGGAGGAGAGGAAAGCCUUGGAGAAAAAGAUAAAGAUAUAGGAAGGAAACAGAUAAAUGACAGUGAGGAAGAAGACACGGGAAAGGAGUAAUAAAGACUGAAAACGUCAGGCAUUGCUUAGUAAUUCCAGCUGUGCAGCCUUCUCAAUCCGAACGCUAGAUGGCAGCACAUACUCCACUUUUACAGCUGAAUUGAUUGAGACAUGGAGCUCAGAGGACAUCAGGUUCAAGUGGUGGUAUAUUAGGGGCCUGAACUACUUUCAUGCAUUGGGUCUUUCUGUGGUAGCAAAUUACAAGACUGGUGGUAGCACUGGUUGUAUAGAGUUGACCCAUUAGUGGCCUCAGUGAUGGUCGGCUUUAUUUCAAGGUUAGUCUCUCAGAAUUUUAUUUAAAUACCAAAAGGAAAAUAGCAAAAGAGAAAUAUAUAUAUUUAUGUAUAUAAAUGUAUAUAU